rnacentral:lncRNA from 1 species
ACAUAAUUAUUUUCCUGAUUCAGUGGCAUGGUUCAGUCUUCCAGGAGUUCUGCUACAGAGAAGAGAGUAACCCCCAUCCAUCAUGGCCAAAGCACCCAGUCAGGCUCCGCUCUGGAUCCAGCCCGACAAAUGCAACCCUUGAAUAGGGUUUGUGCAAGCAAACUGGAUGACGACCGAAGAAACCCUGUCGCUUCUGAGAAGACACCCAAUCCAAGAAUAUACAGUCGAAUGUAAUUUGGAAUUUACGAGUCUUAUCACAUUCUCAUUCUGCUUGAGCAAUUCAAGAUAUAAGAAAAACAGACUGUCUACAUUUCUUCAGAGUUCCUCCAACUAUUGGCUUAAAAUUCCUGAAAUUAAAAUUAUAGUUCUUUG